UAAUUCUUGGUGUAAGGCACGUUAAAUUUUGAUUUUAAAGGUAAUAGGUCAGUCUAUUGGAAUUAA
rnacentral:tRNA from 1 species